rnacentral:tRNA from 1 species
ACCACGAUAGCUCAGCUUGUAGGGCAUCUACCCGGUGAGCAGGCUGCCGCCGGUUCGAUUCCGGCUCGCGGUG